rnacentral:rRNA from 1 species
CCUACGGGGGGCUGCAGUGGGGAAUUUUGGACAAUGGGCGAAAGCCUGAUCCAGCCAUGCCGCGUGCAGGAUGAAGGCCUUCGGGUUGUAAACUGCUUUUGUACGGAACGAAAAGACUCUGGUUAAUACCUGGGGUCCAUGACGGUACCGUAAGAAUAAGCACCGGCUAACUACGUGCCAGCAGCCGCGGUAAUACGUAGGGUGCAAGCGUUAAUCGGAAUUACUGGGCGUAAAGCGUGCGCAGGCGGUUAUAUAAGACAGAUGUGAAAUCCCCGGGCUCAACCUGGGAACUGCAUUUGUGACUGUAUAGCUAGAGUACGGCAGAGGGGGAUGGAAUUCCGCGUGUAGCAGUGAAAUGCGUAGAUAUGCGGAGGAACACCGAUGGCGAAGGCAAUCCCCUGGGCCUGUACUGACGCUCAUGCACGAAAGCGUGGGGAGCAAACAGGAUUAGAUACCCUAGUAGUC